rnacentral:rRNA from 1 species
GCGAACGCUGGCGGCAGGCUUAACACAUGCAAGUCGAACGGGCACCUUCGGGUGUCAGUGGCAGACGGGUGAGUAACACGUGGGAACGUACCCUUCGGUUCGGAAUAACUCAGGGAAACUUGAGCUAAUACCGGAUACGCCCUUUUGGGGAAAGGUUUACUGCCGAAGGAUCGGCCCGCGUCUGAUUAGCUUGUUGGUGGGGUAACGGCCUACCAAGGCGACGAUCAGUAGCUGGUCUGAGAGGAUGAUCAGCCACACUGGGACUGAGACACGGCCCAGACUCCUACGGGAGGCAGCAGUGGGGAAUAUUGGACAAUGGGGGCAACCCUGAUCCAGCGAUGCCGCGUGAGUGAAGAAGGUUUUCGGAUUGUAAAGCUCUUUUGUUGGGGAAGAUAAUGACGGUACCCAAAGAAUAAGCCCCGGCUAACUUCGU